UUUCUACUGUUUUUCCACUGAUAAUGCAAGAGAUUGAGAGGAUCGCCUUGUUCUGGUAAUUUGGUCCUCACACGAGUCCUCAGGCAAUCUGGGCCGUUGCUUGUCUGAACCUUUGCUUCUUCUUCAGCUUCGUCGACGCUGCUUCAGUUAUCUUCAGAGGAGCCGUGGCUUGGGUCCUCUCCUGGCACCUAUUGCGAGUCCACGACGAACAAGGAUCGCGGUUCUCACAAAUUACGCCAGCCCAUCAGUUCGAGAUCACGAACAAAACCCGCGGAGAUCGAGCUAGGAAAGAUCGAACGAAACUCUACAGAAACGGAGAUGGGAAGAGAUCGGUGGUACCAAUUCCAAAGCAGCGGCGGCAGUGCCCUCAUCUCCCCCGCCGUCCGUGGAGGCGGGCGAGGCUCGGGGCGCCACGCGCGCCUCUGCCGCGUGGGUGGUGAGGGCUGCCUCGGCUAAGCGCGUCGCCGUCGUGGGGAGAGGAGGAGGAAGAGUAGAAAUGGGCCUGCCUCGCCGGAUGCCCGCGACCUGUUCGACGGAAUGCGGCUGCGGCCAACGCCGCGCGGUGGCAUAAGAAAGAGCCCAAAGCUGGACAGCAUGCAAACUUCUGACCACGAAAAAUAAUCAAAGAUGUGCCGAGCAAGCAUUGAGAUCUAGGCGCGUAUAUGGGUUGGCGCAACGAAGAAGGGGAACGGACCUUGGAGGUUGCUGUCGAGCCAUUUGGACUGCCUGGUGCGGAUGUGGCUCGCCCACCACCACGAGUAGGCGUUGCUGGCCGCCCGCUGCAGCAUCCUGCCUCUCCUCCGCCGCCGCGCUUCUCCAGCCGCCGGACUCGAACUGGAAGGUCAGCAAUGUGCAUUGCCUACAUUUGCAGCGUGGAUGUAUGUCAUCUUCUAAGAUGAACGAGACGGCGGCGGCGGAGAGGAGGAAGAACAGAGGAGAAGGGGCAGAGCAGGAACCGAAUACUUCGUAGCAAUCUUCCGGCGGAGAUGCUUGAUUCAUUGGCAGAAGAACGGAAGCGGGCAGUAGGUGGUAGUGGAAGAGAAGUGGUGGUGAUGGCAUGGUGCAGGGCUCUGGGAGCUCUAGUCUCUGAGAUGUGGGUCCCGGGGGUGUGUGCUGUCCUGGGUCGCGGCCUGUGCUGCUGCUCGUGCUCGGCACGUCGGGAUGUGCACGACGUUGGGCCAGAAGUAGCUCUGAGAUGGGCCGUGGGCUCAACUUGUGCCUUCGCCUCUUUUUUUUGCAUGUCUUUUCCUUUUUCCUUUUCUUUUGCAGAAUUGGUGUCAGUAGCAAGUUAAAGCUGAUGCAAACAGAUAAGGUGUUGUUUUGUUCUUAGAAAAAGUAAAAAUAAAAAGAUAAGAAAUUUCUUUUGGACACCUACA